rnacentral:lncRNA from 1 species
AUGGGAGUCCUGCGAAAGCAAAAUGCCUGACGGUCACAUUGAUUGCCGGCAAUGGACAUCUCCAAGAAGACGCAGGAAUAGUUAUGAAAGAAGUCAUGAAAGCUCUUUUGACGAGAAAACCGACCUUUACGAGGAAAGAAGCUUGAGUGAAAGAAAGACAGAAGGAAAGAGAGAAGGCAGGAAGCUGGUGCACGUAUGGUGCACAGAAGACGGCGGUUGUCCGAAAAAUUGCACCUGCAACUUGCCGAAACACAGGUGCGUCCCAAAAAAUUGAGGAUGGGUCUCGUUAUGCAGUCCAUAAUAAUGUUGGAAUGCUAAUAUACAUGCGUCCAUAAAGUAAUAAAGCUUUUUCCUUUA